UGGGGAAUAUUGCACAAUGGGCGAAAGCCUGAUGCAGCAACGCCGCGUGAGUGAUGAAGGCCUUCGGGUUGUAAAGCCCUGUCUUUUGGGACGAUAAUGACGGUACCAAAGGAGGAAGCCACGGCUAACUACGUGCCAGCAGCCGCGGUAAUACGUAGGUGGCAAGCGUUGUCCGGAUUUACUGGGCGUAAAGGAUGCGUAGGCGGAUUUUUAAGUGAGAUGUGAAAUACCCGGGCUUAACUUGGGUGCUGCAUUUCAAACUGGGAAUCUAGAGUGCGGGAGAGGAGAAUGGAAUUCCUAGUGUAGCGGUGAAAGUGCGUAGAGAUUAGGAAGAACACCAGUGGCGAAGGCGAUUCUCUGGACCGUAACUGACGCUGAGGCAUGAAAGCGUGGGUAGCAAAACAGGAUUAGAUACCCUGGUAGUCCACGCCGUAAACGAUGAGUACUAGGUGUAGGAGGUAUCGACCCCUUCUGUGCCGCAGUUAACACAAUAAGUACUCCGCCUGGGAAGUACGAUCGCAAGAUUAAAAACUC
rnacentral:rRNA from 1 species